rnacentral:rRNA from 1 species
AUUGAACGCUGGCGGCAUGCCUUACACAUGCAAGUCGAACGGCAGCACGGGUGCUUGCACCUGGUGGCGAGUGGCGAACGGGUGAGUAAUACAUCGGAACAUGUCCUGUAGUGGGGGAUAGCCCGGCGAAAGCCGGAUUAAUACCGCAUACGAUCUACGGAUGAAAGCGGGGGCCCUUCGGGCCUCGCGCUAUAGGGUUGGCCGAUGGCUGAUUAGCUAGUUGGUGGGGUAAAGGCCUACCAAGGCGACGAUCAGUAGCUGGUCUGAGAGGACGACCAGCCACACUGGGACUGAGACACGGCCCAGACUCCUACGGGAGGCAGCAGUGGGGAAUUUUGGACAAUGGGCGAAAGCCUGAUCCAGCAAUGCCGCGUGUGUGAAGAAGGCCUUCGGGUUGUAAAGCACUUUUGUACGGAAAGAAAUCCUUGGCCCUAAUACGGUCGGGGGAUGACGGUACCGGAAGAAUAAGCACCGGCUAACUACGUG